CGGCUGCCUUCGGGGUGCCGCCGUGGCAGUGCACGGCGCGGCGCUGGACACCCCGGCCACAGGACACCGAGCACUGGAGGAAGGGACAAAAGACUGAAACCAGGCCAUGCUCAUCCUUAAGAUUUAUGGAUUUUGAAAACAACUCAGAAGAUGGCAAGAAGGCAGAGCCCAAAGAAUCAAAGCAAAAAGCAAAUCAGCAGGCAAUGAAUGUCAGCAACAAGAAGGAAAUGUCAAAUCCUACCAAACCCAGUUGUAAACUUCUAAUACUUUCAUCCAUUUGCUAUCUUUGGACUAAACACCAACAC